rnacentral:rRNA from 1 species
GCCCGGGAACGUAUUCACCGCAGCAUUCUGAUCUGCGAUUACUAGCGAUUCCAGCUUCGUGUAGUCGGGUUGCAGACUACAGUCCGAACUGAGACGUUAUUUUUGAGAUUUGCUCGGCCUCACGGCUUCGCUUCCCUUUGUUUACGCCAUUGUAGCACGUGUGUAGCCCAAGUCAUAAGGGGCAUGAUGAUUUGACGUCAUCCCCGCCUUCCUCCAGGUUAUCCCUGGCAGUCUCCCUAGAGUGCCCGGCCGAACCGCUGGCUACUAAGAACAGGGGUUGCGCUCGUUGCGGGACUUAACCCAACAUCUCACGACACGAGCUGACGACAACCAUGCACCACGCUGUCUACCUGAUGCUCCGAAUGAAGCCUACGUUACAUACUCUGUCAUCGUGUCAGCG